AUUUAAUUGAUUAUUUAAUUUAAUUAAUUUAAAAAAAUUUUAAUUUUGUAUUUAUUAGGAUAAAUUUAUUUAAAUGAUAGAAUAUUAGUAUAGUGAUAGAAUUUUAAAAAAAUAAUUUAAAGAAUAAUUAAUUUUUAGUACCUUGUGUAUCAGGGUUAAUUAAUUAAAAUUUUUUUAUAAAAAAUUUCUCGAUUUUAAAAGAGUUAAGAUUAUAUUAAUUUUAUUGUUUUAUAAAUAUUUUUAAUUUAAUUUUAGUAAUGAAACGUUAUUCGUUUUUAAAUAUAUCUAGUUUUUAAAGAAAUAAAUUUAAUUUAAGAAUAUAAUUUUUAAUAAUUUAAAUUAUAAUAUUAUUAAUAUAUUAUUCUAAUAUUUUUAGGGAUAAGCUUAAAAAUAAAUAUUUAAAAAUAAAUAAUGAAAUAAAAAUUAAUAGAAUUAGAAAUUUUCAUUUUAUAAUAUGUUAUAAUUAAUUUUUAGAUUAAUAUAAUUUUUAUUUAUUUUAAUUAUUUUAUUUAAAUUAUUUAUUUAAUGAUAAAAUAAAUGUAAUAAUGAUUAAAUUAGUAUAAUUUUUUGUAAUUUUAAAUUUAAAUUUAAGGUUAAAUUAAGGAAUUCGGCAAAAGUAUUUUCGCCUGUUUAAUAAAAACAUGUCUUUUUGAUAAUAAUUUAAAGUCUAAUCUGCCCACUGAUUUUUAAAUGGCCGCAGUAUUUUGACUGUGCAAAGGUAGCAUAAUAAUUAGUUUUUUAAUUGAAAGCUGGAAUGAAUGAUUGGACGAGAAAUAAUCUGUCUCAAUUUAAUUUUAAUUAGAAUUUUAUUUUUAAGUUAAAAAGCUUAAAUAUAGUUUAAAGACGAGAAGACCCUAUAGAGUUUAAUAAUUUAUAUUAUUUAAUUUUUUUAGAAAUUUUAUAUUUAAAUUAUAAUAAUUAUUUUAUUGGGGUGAUUGAAAAAUUUAAUUAACUUUUUUUAUAUAUUAACAUUAAUUUAUGAUUAAUUGAUCCAUUUAUUAUGAUUAUAAGAUUAAAUUACCUUAGGGAUAACAGCGUUAUUUCUUUAAAGAGUUCAAAUCGAAAAAGAAGUUUGCGACCUCGAUGUUGGAUUAAAAUUUAUUUUUGGUGUAGAAGCUAAAUAAUUAAGUCUGUUCGACUUUUAAAAUUUUACAUGAUCUGAGUUUAAACCGGUGUGAGCCAGGUUGGUUUCUAUCUUAAAUUAGUUAUAAUAUUUUAGUACGAAAGGACCAAAUAUUAAUAAAAAUUUAUUUAUAAAGAUUAAAAUUAAU
rnacentral:rRNA from 1 species